rnacentral:rRNA from 1 species
GUGGAUUAUAUACCCUGGUAGUCCUGGCCGUAAACGAUGGGUACUAGGUGUAGGAGGUAUCGACCCCUUCUGUGCCGGAGUUAACGCAAUAAGUACCCCGCCUGGGGAGUACGUCGGCAACGAUGAAACUCAAAGGAAUUGACGGGGGCCCGCACAAGCGGUGGAGUAUGUGGUUUAAUUCGACGCAACGCGAAGAACCUUACCAAGGCUUGACAUUGAUUGACCGCUCCAGAGAUGGAGCUUUCCCUUCGGGGACAUGAAAACAGGUGGUGCACGGCCGUCGUCAACU